AGUGAACGCUGGCGGUAGGCCUAACACAUGCAAGUCGAACGGCAGCACAGUAAGAGCUUGCUCUUACGGGUGGCGAGUGGCGGACGGGUGAGGAAUACAUCGGAAUCUACUUUUUCGUGGGGGAGAACGUAGGGAAACUUACGCUAAUACCGCAUACGACCUACGGGUGAAGGCAGGGGAUCUUCGGACCUUGCGCGAUUGAAUGAGCCGAUGUCGGAUUAGCUAGUUGGCGGGGCAAAGGCCCACCAAGGCGACGAUCCGUAGCUGGUCUGAGAGGAUGGUAAGCCACACUGGAACUGAGACACGGUCCAGACUCCUACGGGAGGCAGCAGUGGGGAGUAUUAGACAAUGGGCGCAAGCCUGAUCCAGCCAUACCGCGUGGGUGAAGAAGGCCUUCGGGUUGUAAAGCCCUUUUGUUGGGAAAGAAAAGCAGCAGGUUAAUACCCCGCUGUUCUGACGGUACCCAAAGAAUAAGCACCGGCUAACUUCGUG
rnacentral:rRNA from 1 species